GGAGGAAACUCUGGAGAACUCUUAAGUGAGUGCCGAAGGUGCAAGGCUUAAACAGCCGAAUCUCUCAGGCAAACGGACAGAGCAAACGCG
rnacentral:ncRNA from 2 species